rnacentral:lncRNA from 10 species
UUUUACAUGCUGCUAAUUUAGUUAUUUCUCCCCAGAACUCUCCUUCAGAUCAGAAUAUGACAGUUAUAUAUUAUAUGCCACCCUCUGGCUAUGAUUUCUUAAGAUCUUUUUUGGAAUUACAUCUGUUCUAUAAAGUUACAAAGACCAAUUAUGGACCAUUAACAACUCCUAUUUUUUCAGGGCUUACUUUAUUUAUCCAUAUUCAGUUUUCAGCUCCCUAUUAUAUUCUGUUUGAUUCUGGAUUUUAUCCUAAUGUAAAAUGUCAUGAGCAGAAGCAAAGGGCAGUGAAAGUAGCCUUUGCCUCCAUACUCAAAAAGUUACUGACUUUGAAUUCUCCUGGGUGCUGUGGUGAAGAUGGCAAUGACCAGGAAGUCUGGUACAGGCAGAGUUUUCCUUCUCUCUUUGCAAUGUCCAUCUUAACCAGAGAGUGGAUUUUCUUGAACCUGGGAUGACCUAACCAAAGGCUUUAAGAUACAAGAUACUUCAAUGAAUAAAACAAAGACCUUUGCUUUCCUGAAACUUGAGAUCAAAUGGAGGACACACAAAAACAACGCACCUACAAAUCACCAUAUUGUGUGUCAGGAGCCUCUAGGUUACCCUCAUCCAUAGGAAUCACAUCUGCAUUCCUGUAACUGCAUAAGGAGAAAGAAGGUGGAAGUGAUAGGAUCGCAUUCUGUCACCCAGUCUGGAGUGCAAUGGCAUGACCUUGGCUCACUGCAGCCUCGAUCUCCCAGCCUCAAUCAAUCCUUUCACCUCAGCCUCCUGAGUAGCUUGAACUACAGCUGAGGAUGCUAUGAAAACCCCUUGAGGAAACAAAGGCACCUUGGGGGCCAUUGAGAACUCCUGACGAAGAGGGCUCAGCUGCCAGACCUGCUCAAGAAAGACCUCAGAAAUCUCUAUGGGGCUGUCAGAAGAAAAGGUUUGAAAAGGGUCUGGAGAGACUGAAAUUUGUCUGCCUUGGACUUUUCUUUUGACAAUUCACAUCCAACUUAAGCAGAAUCAUUGUUUAUUCUUAUUAUGCCAGGUUUCCUUUUCUGGUCUGCAGGUUCUCUAGGGUUUCAUAGGCUAGUAGUUGGAAUUUUCAUAUUUCCAAAGCAUUGGGGAUUUUGCAAAAACAAAAUCUAAAGGAUAUUCAGCAGCACAGUUUACUUAGGAGGUUUUAAUCAUAAUAAUCUGCAUAAUGUAUGAGAAUUUCUACCUCAGCUGCCUCCUUUCUUUCUCUUUCGUGUCUGGGAAAAAGCCAGGGAUUUUUCCCUUCCUCUGAUUUAAAUACCUUAUAAAAUUUUGGUGGAAGCAUUUUGUCCUAUUCUGUCUUCCUGAUUCAUUUUCUGCUGUAAUGAGCAAAAUUAAUUUGCAAGAGCUGCUACUGACAUAGUGUAAUAAACUGGGUCAUAGGUAGAAUCAGUGCCGCCUUAUGACCCUUAGCUGUCAUUGCUUUAAGGAAUUUGGCAUGGUCCUCGAAGGCCAGAAGGCAAUGUGGGUUGCAUCCUACAGCUUUUGAGAUCUCAGAGACUUACUGCACCCAUGGCUGGGAAUGAACUGUAAAUGCUGACACUGGUAACUAGGUGCCAAACUGAAGUGAUCACAACCUAAUCUGAGCCAAAAGGCAUUUCUUUGCAUCAGGCAUAAAGCAACAUCAAACUCCCAUAACCCACACACAACACAGAAAUCAUUACUGAAGAGAUUCAACAUCAUCAUGCCAGACACUAAGUGAGUUAUUUCUCUCCUUCCCUGUCUCACCACAGUUUCCUCCCACUUGGUCACACAUGGUAAGCAUUCAUGUGUGCGAAGGCAUUUUAUGCCUUCGACCUAACCCCGACCACAGUCCCCUAGUCUUAUCAGAGAUCUGCACUCCCCACCAUUUGAGCACGAUGGAGUGCAUAUUUCCAGUGCAAAAAGACUGAUAUCAUUAUGAUUUUCAUUAACUAGUUGCCAGCUUGCAUUCUUUUUUCUCCCUUUUUUUCUCUCUCAACAGCACUUCUGUCCUCAGCCCAACCCCAGCCAGAAAAGGUGUUGCUACAUUCAGUGAAAAAUUAUUAUUAGUAUAGACAUGAAAUUUGAUGAUAAUGUAGAUUGUUUUGUGUCAUCUGCAGGCUGUCACAAUACACUCUGCAUCACUGAAAUGUGUUGACCAGAAGGAUGAUGGUGUUGUCAUGAUACUGAGGUCUUUUAAUUAAUUACUUUGUGACUUUCAUAGCAUUUAGAAAACGGAGAACAGGGUAUUUUCUUGAACAGCCUAGCCAAAUGAAAAACUGGUUACUAAUGUAUGUUAUCUUCAUGAAUGAAGGCAUAAAAUAAUAAAAACAAACAAAUUAAAAAUUGUUAAUAAAUUAAUAACUAAUAAAAAUAAAUAAAAUAAAGAUUGUUAGCAUGUUUCAUCCAUGACAAUCAUGUAUACAAUUUGUGAUGUGCAAAAUAAUUUUGUAGUUAGGUAUCAGUGCAUAUUUUUGCACAUACUACCUUCUUUAAAGGACUGUAUAAAUUGACUAAAAUAUUUUCAGAGACUUAAUGAAGAUACAAUAUAGGGACUUGUGAUUUACACAAAGGACCUUUUAAAUUUUUCAAUGCAUUUGUUUUAAAGACGGCUUUGACCACACACGUACAUUUUCUAACUUGGAAAAGUAGCUUCCUGUUAUAAUCAAUACAGAUUACUUUUGGACUUUAAAAAAAUCAGGCAAAUAUUCUAAAUUGUUGAACUCUCUGGGUACAUGUAUCUUCUGCUUUGUUAAGUUUAUUUACUUUAUACAGUUCCCCUUCUUUCCUUGCUGUAGAGCCUGUUCAAUAUCACUGACUAAAUCACAGAAAGAACUCCAAGAUCAUCUAGCUAACCCACAAUCACUGAAGCAAGCAAAUGCUUGUUUAAAGAAUCAGGGUAGGUGGUGAUCUCUUCUAUUUUUAAAUCAUUAUAUGGGUAAAAAAUUAUAAACAUUGCUUUUCUUUAUAAAAUGGCUUCACACAUUUUAUAGGUUUACAAUUCACCAACAAGUCAUUUGAAAACCUCUGCACACUCCAGUAGUCAUAAUUUUAAAAAUCAGAUUUUAUAUUUUUCUUUUCUUCUCCUUUCCCUGAUACAGUCUUAAGUCCCACAUUUUACAGGAUGCUUUAUCCUCCUAAGUUCUAUUUUGUUUUGCACAUACAUGCAGAAUGCCUACUUAUAAAGUCAUGAGCAUAUAGAUCCAAUAGAGUAUAUGUGCCCAAUUAAGUAUUGUCCUUCUGGGUAGACAUCUUAGAGGAAAUGAACUUAUUAUAGAUUUGUCCUAACUUCAGUAACACCCAUCCAUAAAAGGCCGCCAAGUUGCUGCUUUCUGCAGUAGUACUCGAGUUGAAGAGAGGAGAUUUUUCAAGGAUAAGAUACUUCGUGAUCAAUAGCGUGUCCCAGAAGAAGGCAGAAAGUAGAAGAUGAGGAGAGGAUGGCUCCAACUCUUGUAGGACCUAGGGGAUAUGAUGAGAUUAGCCCGUGGGCAGUACAGGAGGACAGCAGGCUUGGGCAAAAGUGUACAGUAUAAAGAAGAUAAUGGGAGACAAGAAACCUGGGAUUAAAGUCCCAGUGAGCAAACAAAUCACUCUUUUUUCCUUUUGGUUCUUCAUAAAAUGAGAAUAGUUACAUUCAGUUGAAAACCUUGGUGCCCCAGAUAUGAAUCGCUAUAAGCAUCUGUCAUUUUUGUAAAGAAAAAAUAUUUAUGUUUUAUUAUGGAAUUUCCCAC